CAAGGAACUCAGGCCCCUGAGAGACGCUAGUGGGCCUUUGAUCGCUGCUGUUUACUCAUUCACUCAGCAAACACAAAAUAAGCCUUCACUCAGAAGCCGCUGGAAAGUGCUGGAAGCAGCCCUCAGGGAGUCGCGCUAGAGGAAGCAGGACCCGGGCAGGAGUGGGGGCUGCAGGGAUCCCACUGUCUUCCGGGAGGAACCAGCUUGCUGACACCUGAUUUGUAGACCAGGGAGAGACAUUUUGGACCUCUGACCUCCAGAACCAUAAGAUAAACUUGUGCCGCUUAAGGCGGGGAAAAAGGAGUCAGAGAGCAAGAGACGGCUGUUACCUCCAGCUUUCAAGUAAGCCCAAGAUUUGUG